GCAACUCCUGUGUGCAAACGCAUCAUCAAAAAUGGAACAAAGGCGAUCGCAUUCUGCUUACUCGCCGCGGAAAGGCAAGGAAAACGGACCAAAACACAAGAGGGCUGCAAACGUGGCUAUAAAGAUGGCAACGGGAUGUGGGCACACGGACCAGGCAGGACGGGAAGGCCAGCAGCAGAGUGUGGCUGGUGCGGUCCAACGUCAAAGACAAGAGCUGGCGGGCCUGGGGGGAAUCCUCACCGCAUCUAUGGGGAGACAAACGUGAGAGCGAGGAGAUGAAAACAUCUACAGGUACCUCGGAACCAUUUGGAAUCGUGUUUGACCGUGCGCAGGGCGGGGCUGUCGCCGAGACUGCGAUAGAUCACCGCAUCGAUGGCCAGGAAGUCUGUCACGG